rnacentral:rRNA from 1 species
GACGAACGCUGGCGGCGUGCUUAACACAUGCAAGUCGAACGGAGUGGCGAACGGGUGAGAAAUACGUGGGUAACCUGCCCUCCUUUUUGGGAUAAGCCUUGGAAACGGGGUCUAAUCCCGACUAAAGGGGGAUGGGCUCGCGGCAUAUCAGCUUGUUGCUGGGGUGAUUGCCUCCCAAGGCGGUGUCGGGUAGCCGGCCUGAGAGGGUGAACGGACACAUUGGGACUGAGAGUCGGCCCAGACGACUACGGGAGGCAGCGGUGAGGAAUAUUAGGCAAUGGGCGCAAGCCUGACCCAGCAACGCCGCAUGAAGGAAGACUGUCUUCGGAUUGUAGACGUCUAUGGACAGGGACGGUACCUGUAGAAGAAGCCACGGCUAACUACGUGCCAGCAGCCGCGGUAAUAC